AAGCAGGAUGUGAANUCCCCGGGCUCAACCUGGGAACUGCGUUNUGAACUGGGUGACUAGAGUGUNUCAGAGGGAGGUAGAAUUCCACGUGUAGCAGUGAAAUGCGUAGAGAUGUGGAGGAAUACCGAUGGCGAAGGCAGCNUCCUGGGAUAACACUGACGUUCAUGCCCGAAAGCGUGGGUAGCAAACAGGAUUAGAUACCCUGGUAGUCCACGCCCUAAACGAUGUCGAUUAGCUGUUGGGCAGCAUGACUGCUUAGUAGCGAAGCUAACGCGUGAAAUCGACCGCCUGGGGAGUACGGUCGCAAGAUUAAAACUCAAAGGAAUUGACGGGGACCCGCACAAGCGGUGGAUGAUGUGGAUUAAUUCGAUGCAACGCGAAGAACCUUACCUGGUCUUGACAUGUACGGAAUCCUCCAGAGACGGAGGAGUGCCUUCGGGAGCCGUAACACAGGUGCUGCAUGGCUGUCGUCAGCUCGUGUCGUGAGAUGUUGGGUUAAGUCCCGCAACGAGCGCAACCCUUGUCAUUAGUUGCCAUCAUUAAGUUGGGCACUCUAAUGAGACUGCCGGUGACAAGCCGGAGGAAGGUGGGGAUGACGUCAAGUCCUCAUGGCCCUUAUGACCAGGGCUUCACACGUCAUACAAUGGUCGGUACAGAGGGUAGCCAAGCCGCGAGGCGGAGCCAAUCUCACAAAACUGAUCGUAGUCCGGAUUGCACUCUGCAACUCGAGUGCAUGAAGUCGGAGUCGCUAGUAAUCGCAGGUCAGCAUACUGCGGUGAAUACGUUCCCGGGUCUUGUACACACCGCCCGUCACACCAUGGGAGUGGGGGAUACCAGAAGUAGGUAGGGUAACC
rnacentral:rRNA from 1 species